GCUGAUCCGGGCUUGGGGCGGGUCCGCGGCCCGGGCGACCCCGGCUGGGGCCGCUCCCGUCCCCGGGCGUCCCCGUGCGGGCGGCAGACGCUGUCGGAGACGGCGUCGCUGCGGCUCAGCCCCGCGGCGGAGGAGGUGGUUGGUGAGCGGCCACACCGGCUAGCUUGCAGCGGGAGAGCGAGCGAUCAUUUCCUCACAGCACCGUCGAGGCGCUCGGGCUGCUCGGAUGAGAACCCGGUCCAAGGCCACUGCAGUAUCUUAGCGCACGUGCGAGGAAAGCCGAGGGGGACAUCUGAAAACCCGCCGGGCCGCGGGGGGCUUCGUGGCGCGGGACCUCGGCGCUGGGGAGCGGGGAGCGGAGCGGAGCGGAGCGGCCUGAUUCUCUUGCCUGUAAGAGUCGUGCUUGAACAAGAGACCAAAAGAAGAACAUCACCCAAAAGAGUCUCUCAAUAUUUUAUCAACCUAAGUGAUAAUCCUGCUGUGACACUGGGGCAUCCCACAGAAAAGAAACACCUGGUAGAGAGAGGGAGAAGCUACUUCCUCCUCCUCUAGGGAUUCGCAUUUCACCUUCAUCAUUCACAAAGAAGGGCUUUUGUUUCCUUAGAGAUUUCUUCCUAUCCCAAGGUCAUGAAGAUAUUCUUUAAUGGAUCUGGAACUGGUUUUGUGUAUAAAGAGGGGAGAGAACUGUUCAUAGAAGUGCAGCCAUGAGGAGACUCUUCCUCUCCCACCAUCACUGCAAGAGCCAGGACUUUCUCAAACAGACCCACCCACCCACCUCUAGACACAUGUCAGCCGGAGUGAUCAAUCCAUCACCCAGAAAUUUUCCCUUUCUCCCAAAACACUCUGCUACCAAAUUCUCUGAAUUCCCUGAACCUCAAGAUUCCAAGUAUCACAGCCAGUGCCAGGAGUAAAACCUGAAAGAUGAGAGCAGAGAAGGCCCCUCUGCCAGUGCUAGGUUUCCUCUUCUCAAUAAUAAUAAUAAUUAUAAUUAUAAUAAUAAAAAAUCCUGGUUCUCUGUAAUUACGGAAAAGGAAAGACUUUAUGCCAGGAUGACCCCCGCCCCCCAUUCCUAGUUCCCACCCCUGCAUUCCUAGACCAGUAAAGAUCCCUUCCACCCGAGCACCUGGGCACAUGUGACCCUGUGGCGCCGCUCCUUGUGAGGGCGCCCCGCAACCAUCCUCGGACCAAAUGCAGCACCCGGCAGCGAGGUAAGCAGCAUCUCGGGUUUACAGACGGGAAAAGGAGACAGACACGAAGGUGCUCGCGUGAGGACACAGGUGGGAUCUCUGAAGAACUUGCAAUCUGACCUCCAGAGCCUCUUAAUUCUCCAUCUCAUGUCCAAUCCCAGCACCUUCCCCCUCCAGUCCUUCGACAUUUGGGGGACCGAGUGAAGGGGUGAUGAGCUCAGGAUGUCUGCAAGGGAGAAGGGGGAGAAGCAGGGAGUCUUUCACAGUCAGUCAGUGAUUCAAUCUUAAUUUGUCCUAAGACUUGCAACCUGGAGGCUUUCCACUACUGCCCCAGUCCAUUACAACAAAGAUAAAAAAAAAAAAAAAAUUAAUGUUCCUGAUUUUCUUGUGUGAUUCCAGUCACUAGGAGAAGGUUGCAGGCCAUGAACUGCACGCUCAGUACAUUGCUCAUCUGCCCGGUGUACACACCCACGAGUUCCCCAGAGGAACCAUCGGCAGGUGUGCUGCAGUAAGUGUUCCUGAUGUCCCAGACACGCACAGAGUUGUCCAUGGAUGCAGAGGCGAUCAGACUACUGUCCGGACUGAAGUUUCAGCUGCUUUGGAAGCCACAUUGCUCCCUGUUUCUACUCCACUAAGAAACUUCCUGGCAUGUUCAUUACUCCCAUGAGUGGGAUCAAUGAUGAAGGCAGGCACCGUCUCACUUCAAAAUAAUACAGAACCACUGUAGAAGGUUAGUCAAAAGAAAGCCCGAACAUAUCGAAGCUGAGAGGAAACCAGAAAGGUCCAGUUAUCAAUAAAGGACCCUCACAGCUUGUGACCAGCAGAAACUGCCAGUGUCCAAAGAGGAAUAAAGAUGAAGUUUUUAAACCGUGA